CCCUUAGAUGUUCUGGGCUGCACGCGCGCGACAAUGACGUUUGCAACGAGAUUGCGAGGCCGUCAGGUCGAGCUGAUCUUGCAAGCUGCGUCGUGAUAGGGACAGUCGAUUGCAAUUAUUCGACUCGAACGAGGAAUUCCUUGUAAUCGCGCAUCAUCAGUGCGCGCUGAAUACGUCCCUGCCCUUUGUACACACCGCCCGUCGCUCCUACCGAUUGAGUGAUCCGGUGAGGCUUUGGGAUCUGAGCGGAAAGAGCGUUUCGCUGUUUCUGCUCGGAAAACUCAGUCGAACCUUAUCAUUUAGAGGAAGGAGAAGUCGUAACA
rnacentral:rRNA from 1 species